UUGAGUGCAGAAGACAUUUUUGCUCUAAGGAAUUUACUCAGGAACCUCAUUAGUGUUCUACAUGACAUGAAUUCACCUCCUGAGACAUGUAACGAUCACGCUGGAUCAGUGCAUCUGGAUGAUUGCAAGAUUCUUCUUUAAUAACCAGGAAACAAGAACUGCAGUUGCCUUCUGUGGUAUCAAGUGCAGGUGAACAGUUGUGGAAUUCUGAGGCAGCUUCCAGCUGCUUGAAGGGAUUCAAAGAUGAAAGAGAGAAAUCUGGUUGUCUCCAUCCUGGAAAUUCAAUGCAACUGAGCUGAUGUGACUGCGGUGUCCAUGAGCCACUCACAUGUCUUUUAGGGGUAAGUGUUCAGGGUUUUUUUUGGUUUUUUUAAUUGAUGGAAUGAAAUGAGAAUGUCCAUAUUGACAGUUCAUGUCCUGUGGACAAGAGCUUCUUGGGACGUCCUCAUGAAUUUCCCUGUAACUGUGCAGUAAUCCCACUAUACCUGUGUCUAUGAACUUUAUAUAUCUGAUUCUGAAUUGGGUGUUUGUUUCUUGCUUGUAAAUAUGUAAAAAAUCAAGUGGGCCUGAUUUUAAUUCCUGGGAAUCUUGACAAACUCUGGUGACAGUCAUUGGUUGGCUUUCUGACAGAAAACAGAUACCAUUUCUCACACCUAGUUUUUAUUUUCUAUAUUUUGCUUUUUUAUAUUGCAAACUCAGUGCCAGGGAGUGUGAUCCAACCCACAGCAGGAUUCCAUCAGGGCCCAAGCCCAUACUGUGUUGUUCUCUGUUCCUGGUGCAGCCAGUGUUCAACAGGAACUGUAAAUCCAUUGUGAAUUUUUACCACAGCUAUAUGGAGUUGUCUCUAACUCAAGAUAGGGCCCACCAUUGUUUGUACAUAGUUCUUCAGUCCCCUGCCUUCCCAUCUAUCUUUUCC